rnacentral:lncRNA from 1 species
AGGAGCCAUAGUACCUACAGCAGCACUCCAGAUGUGUUGUCACCGAAGGUCAUUACAAGAAGAUGAAGAAGGAUUCUCAAGGGGCAUUUUCAGGUUUCUGCCACGGAGGAGAUGCUCUUCACGAAGGGAGAGUCAGGUACAUUGGAGGAUUCAUUGCUGUGGCCAGGGAAGGCAGAGGACAUGCAAAAUUAGUAUUUCCCUUUCUAUCUUCUAGGAUGGACUUUUUUCAUUCAGACGGCCGCUCUGGCUUAAAGAUAUGUACAAACCUCUCAGUGCCACAAGAGUAAAUAAUCACGCAUGGAAGCUGCA